UAGUGCUGCUUCCAAAGCCUCUGGGAGAU
rnacentral:piRNA from 1 species